UGCGGAGGGAUCAUUACCGAGUUUACAACUCCCAAACCCCUGUGAACAUACCAAUUGUUGCCUCGGCGGAUCAGCCCGCUCCCGGUAAAACGGGACGGCCCGCCAGAGGACCCUUAAACUCUGUUUCUAUAUGUAACUUCUGAGUAAAACCAUAAAUAAAUCAAAACUUUCAACAACGGAUCUCUUGGUUCUGGCAUCGAUGAAGAACGCAGCAAAAUGCGAUAAGUAAUGUGAAUUGCAGAAUUCAGUGAAUCAUCGAAUCUUUGAACGCACAUUGCGCCCGCCAGUAUUCUGGCGGGCAUGCCUGUUCGAGCGUCAUUUCAACCCUCAAGCCCAGCUUGGUGUUGGGACUCGCGAGUUAAACCGCGUUCCCCAAAUUGAUUGGCGGUCACGUCGAGCUUCCAUAGCGUAGUAGUAAAACCCUCGUUACUGGUAAUCGUCGCGGCCACGCCGUUAAACCCCAACUUCUGAAUGUUGACCUCGGAUCAGGUAGGAAUACCCGCUGAACUUAAGCAUAU
rnacentral:rRNA from 1 species